CCUACGGGAGGCAGCAGUGAGGAAUAUUGGUCAAUGGCCGGAAGGCUGAACCAGCCAAGUCGCGUGAGGGACGACUGCCCUAUGGGUUGUAAACCUCUUUUAUAAGGGAAGAAUAAAUGCUACGUGUAGCAUGAUGCCUGUACCUUAUGAAUAAGCAUCGGCUAACUCCGUUCCAGCGGCCGCGGUAAUACGGAGGAUGCGAUCGUUAUCCGGAUUUAUUGGGGUUAAAGGGUUCGUCGGUGGUUUUUUAAGUUAGUGGUUAAGCGUCGGGGCUACACCUUGAAUUGCAAUUAAUACUGUUAGACUCGAGUUCAGACGAGGUAGGCGGAAUAAGUGAAGUAGCGGUGAAAUGCUUAGAUAU
rnacentral:rRNA from 1 species